CCAGCUUUCGCAGAAUCGGUUAGCGCGUUCGGCUGUUAACCGAAAGGUUGGUGAUUCGAGCCCACCCAGGGA
rnacentral:tRNA from 1 species